CAGUCGCCGCGGGAAUACGUAGGGUGCAAGCGUUAAUCGGAAUUACUGGGCGUAAAGCGUGCGCAGGCGGUUCGCUAAGACAGAUGUGAAAUCCCCGGGCUUAACCUGGGAACUGCAUUUGUGACUGGCGGGCUAGAGUAUGGCAGAGGGGGGUAGAAUUCCACGUGUAGCAGUGAAAUGCGUAGAGAUGUGGUGGAAUGCCGAUGGCGAAGGCAGCCCCCUGGGCCAAUACUGACGCUCAUGCACGAAAGCGUGGGGAGCAAACAGGAUUAGAUACCCGCGUAGUCCCUGUCUCUUAUAC
rnacentral:rRNA from 1 species